GUGGGACGAACUGCAGCUCCUCUCUGGGCCUUGGCCCAUCGGUACACAGCCGCCUAGGGAAAAAACGGCCGCUUCUGUGCAGGCAUCCAGCACCAGCGCGGAGCUGAGGUCUCCUCGCCCACCCUAUUUGCAUAACGCGGGCUCAAGCUACUACCUGUGUUACUGAGAUACAAAUAAAUUAAAUUUAAGGCCACACCAGAAGGCCCCUGAGAUCUCCCUGUGUGGGCCUCAGGCCAAGUCCCGCCCCAGUCAGGGAAUUGGGAUCCCCCAGAACGCCUGGAAGAUGUCCCCCACUCUCCCACCUCCAGUGCCUGGCCCAGGGCUGGCACACUGCAGGAGCUCAACUCUCUUCUGCGUGGAUGUUGGCAGCCUGGGUUCAUGGACGAAGAAGGUCUUAUAAAAGCAGAAGUGCCAGGUCGUGAGUAAGGCCCUGGCACGUGGUCCCCUCUGACCAGUUUGCCGCUCCCCAUCUGGCUUGUACAAUAUUUUUUUAUACCAGCUGUGGUGCUGCCACCCAGAGGCCCCACUGCCACCCAAGGAGCCUCUCUCCUCCCCUUGCUGAUCCUCAGCACCGUACCUGCCCUUGUGGGAACAGAUAUAGGUGGAAUGCCAAGGAGAGGCAGGCAGGCUACCUCAAGAAACCCUUUCCCACAAGUAACCCAGUUAACUUCUGGGGUCUCUGAGCACAUGCCACACAUGGCACCAAGCACUGUAUGUGCACUGGCUUUUUAACAUACUCAGAGGCGAUUUUAAGGAGAGGGCACUGAGGCUUGGGCCUUGGGGUGGGCGUGCCAGGUUGUGUGUCCUGUGUCAUGCCUUGAGCCAAACCCAGAUGUUCACCCAAUCUCAAGUCAGAAACCUGUCCUUCACAGGCAGAGGCCCAGCACAGCUGGAAAAGGGCCCUUGGCCUGACCCAGGUAAGGUAUGAUUUUGUCUGCGUGAUCCCCAAUAUGUGAGCCCAAUCACCCUGUUGUCCCUGGAGCCACAGGUACAUGGCAGGGUAUUCCUGGAGCCCCCAGGCCCGGGAGUGGAAGUGGGGAGCAGAGAGAGGAAGGCUGUGAGGGGAGGAUAUGUAUAGACCAGAUAAUGUAAGAUUUGGAUUCAGUUCUGCCUGGACCCGUACUGGGCGUGGGGUAAAAACACAAGGGAGUAAGGUCCUGCACUCCUGGGAAAGACCCAACACACACCCCGAAACAGAAUCUUAGGGUCAGGGGCAUUGGGCAGAAGAAUGUCACAUAGGAGAUCGGAGCAGGCUUUGGAGGGACACUGUCCUGUGUUCAAAUCUCAGGUACAACACUGGAACACGUCCCUUCACCUCCUCUUCCUCAGUUCUCGUCUAGGAAAUGGCACCUCCUCAGGCUUGUGGUUACGACUGUCCCAGCCCAAUCGGCCUUGGACCACCAGGGGCUGAGCCGUAGUUUGACCAAGUCGGGAUGACUGGUGCUUUGCAACGAAGGAGACCACACACCAGCAGACCCACGGAGCAUCUCACCAGACAGAAGAGAAGAGAGUUCCUAUGGUAUUGGGGGGAAGAGUGGAGGUUAGGUGAAAUGUCAAUGAAACAUUUUUCUUUCUAUAGCCUCAAAACACAGGAGGAUGUGCACGAAGGUCUGGGCCAUGAAGUGUACCCGGUGUUCUGCUUUCCUUGGAAGCUAAAACUUAAGAGUCACGUCAUGGACGAAUUCAACUGAGGAUUUGCAAACAAAAAAUAAAGAGAAAGAGAAAUGAUUUCAACGUGGACGGGCAGUUCACCCCUUGCUAUUCCUGGACUGAGUGUGAGGUGGGAGGUGCGACUCUGCUGGGCUCUCCGCCAGUCUCAGCUCCUGGCUGCCUCUUAAAAGGUUUCAGGAGGAAAUUAUUAGCCCUGCUUCCUGGUUAACCUGCAAACACACUCAGAGGCCACAUGCAAAGACUGAGUACCUGACUGUCCGGCCUAACCAGGCAGGAGGGCAAUGGAGAGAGACUUUGGCAUCAGACAGACCUGAGCUGGAAUGCUGGCUCUGCCACUGCUGGCUAGGUGGCUUCAUCUGAAGAAACGGUGACCAGCACGGCUGGGCCGCUUACAAAGGAUUUCUUUUGAAAACCACCGCUUCCGAACGGAGACUGAAGGAGCGGCGAGAAGACGAACGAGGAGUUUUAGCGACAGAGCCAACACCGGGCACCGCGAGGGGGCGCCAGAUGAGAGGGCGAGUUCAAAGGCGGCCUCGACAAGUCCUAGACCCGAUGGCAGUGAGGAGUGAGGGGACCGGGCACCCGGCGGCCGGACAGCGCAUUUGGGCUUCCAGAACCUCGUGCAGAUGACGGGGCUCCCCGGCUCCUUCGCUCUCCCGAGCCCCCGUCUUCUCUCCCAGUUCCCACCCAGAACCGGUCAGCACUCAGCAACACCGGGCAGGGAACACCAAUCACAGGCAAUCCUCUGGUCCUGCUUUGUGCUCAAGCUCCAGAAGCAGAGCAUCGUGCACUCGAUCUGUGGAAGGUCCUGGGCCCGAUGGAGGGAUCCGUGCUAAGUUGGAGGACCUUGCUCCGUGGCUGCCUCUGGGCGACCGAGUUUCCUUGGCGGGAAAGGAAGUUGUCCUCGAACAGUUCAGGUCCUAAAAGAACACUAUCCCUGGCCCUCCGCCUACCUCGCUGUGUGGCUUAGGAUAAAUGAGCUAUUCUCUCUAGGUCUGUUGCUCCACCUAUAAAAUGAAUGAGUGAGAUAAAAGGGUCUCUACAGUCCCUCGUUUAUCCUGGCCCUGCAAACCCAGGAUCAGCGUCAGUGUCGCUUGGAGUGAUGUCAGUGCUCUUACCCUGGCUAGGGCCGUGUGAAGCUUUUCAAGCAAUAACAUGCACAGCAGCCAGGCCACAAUCAUCUGGGGGAACUGAUGCACAGGAAAAAGAAAAAUGGGACUUGUUCAUCGGUAAAUAUUGUGCUCCUCUUGUGUGUCUGGCACUGGGUUGGCACUGGGUGCUCAGGGAGAAACAGGCAUGACCCUGCUCCCCCAGUUAAGGGCUGUGCCUCCCUCAUCAGACUCUGAGCUCCCCAGGGUGGGGGCUCUACUCUCAUCAGGCUGCCCUCAUCAGGAAGGAGGUCGGAGACCCCAGAGCUCUGCUCUUUCCUCUGCAGUGUCCACCUGGUUGCUCCACAGAGACUCCCAGGCCUUUUCCCACACCUCACUCACCCAACCCCAGGACUGCAUGGGCCUGGGCUCCCUGUGGACUCCCAGCUGAGCCAUUGGCUCUCUCCCACCCACAGAUCUACAGAGGAACCAGUGCAGACCAGAGGCUCCAGUGGCACCUCCCCAAGGAAGUGGCCUUCUCCUGCCCAACACUGAGAGGACAUUUGAAGUUUGGGGAGCCCCUCUCAGCACUCAGAGUCAGCAGGAAUGUACCUGACCACCCUCUGCACCUGACCUGCCUCCCCAGGCCUGCCACCUGCUGGCAUUCUUUUGCAGAGAGCUGCGGUCUCUCUGCAGUCUUCCCUGGACCAUGCCUGCAGGUCCUGCACAGCACCACACCCCACUCUAUCCUGUGCGUCAAGUUCAACGCCAGGACAGGCACAGACCAUGCACCGGGAGGAGGUAAUUAACAUUGGACCCGGCCCCUUUGCACAGAGACUAGCCUGGCCAUGGCCCUGGCCUAACGAGGAGCAGGACCAUUAGCUCUGAAGGGGGUGGCCAGGGGUGGGCUCUCAAGCUAGGUCUGGU
rnacentral:lncRNA from 1 species